UUUUUGUAUUGUGACAUUAACAUAUCUUUGCGUUCUAAUCUUUUUGCUUAUCUAAAAGACUAUGUACCAUUAUUUCAACAUCUUGAUGCAUUCAAUAAACUUAAACACAUUCUAAACCCCAUCCCUGAACUUGUUUGUCAUAUUGGAGUCUUCAUUAAACAGUCUUUAGAACUGAGGGAGUCAGACCCGUGUCAGGCAAGGUUAUGAUGGUGUUUUUUACAUACA
rnacentral:lncRNA from 1 species